CCUACGGGAGGCAGCAGUGGGGGAUAUUGCACAAUGGGGGAAACCCUGAUGCAGCGACGCCGCGUGGGUGAAGAAGUAUUUCGGUAUGUAAAGCCCUAUCAGCAGGGAAGAAAGAAGACGGUACCUGACUAAGAGGCCCCGGCUAACUACGUGCCAGCAGCCGCGGUAAUACGUAGGGGGCGAGCGUUAUCCGGAUUCACUGGGUGUAAAGGGAGCGUAGACGGCCGUGCAAGCCAGGAGUGAAAGCCCGGGGCCCAACCCCGGGACUGCUCUUGGAACUGUGCGGCUGGAGUGCGGGAGGGGCAGGCGGAAUUCCUGGUGUAGCGGUGAAAUGCGUAGAUAUCAGGAGGAACACCGGCGGCGAAGGCGGCCUGCUGGACCGCGACUGACGUUGAGGCUCGAAAGCGUGGGGAGCGAACAGGAUUAGAUACCCUUGUAGUC
rnacentral:rRNA from 1 species